GAUCGCAAUGUGAGCAUGUUCAGAAACAGAUCUGCACUGUCUGGGAAUAAGAUGAUCUCUAAGAAUUUUUCUUAAUUGCCGUGGAUGAAGAGGGACGAGCAACAGGCAGCCCAGCCACCUCACUUCCUCCCAAGGUGGCAUCUGAGUGAACCUGUUCACAUCACUCCAUUUCCUCCAGAGCUGCCAAGACUGUAUCAGCCAGCAGCCCAGAGGAUGCUGCAGGGACUUUUCUAUGCUACAGCUGUCCUCACACUGAUCCUUGCAAUUACUAAGUUGCUUCUGAUGUCUGCCACGGGUGAGGCCGUCAUCGGCCCAGACAUGAUGAACAGGAGGCAUGUGGCGGUGAUACGUCAGAAGACUUACGCACAGCCCAGUUUAAGGGGCCAAACAGAAUCUCUUUAUAUGAUGCAGGUAUAUCAGGUAGUAUCUACAAGACAUGUUAAAAACUGUACCCACAGAGUGGGUGCUACAAAGCCAGGGGUAUGAUAGAGAUGUACAUUUAUCAUACAAAAACACUUAAAUGAAUGAUAUUAGAAAAUAUGUCUGCUAUGCUGUUUUCCUGAGAAGAGUGGGAUUAGACUAUGAAUCUGCAAAUAUCAGCAACAUUUCUAUCAUUCCCUGGAAUAGGGUAAUUCAUUAUUAACCUAUUUGCCUACUCUCUAUUUUCCUUUCUCCUUUUUAGUUUGCUUAUAUCUAUUUUCACGAUGACCUAGUAUUACUCAAACAUCUCUAAAGAAAACAACCGUCUAACCGUAAUGUGAGGCCACAGAAAUCUAAAGGCAAGUAUUGCACACUGAAUUUAAAACUUCUGGCAGCCUCAUUAAGAGUUAAGAGGUGAUAAGAAAUUACUUUAUUCUCACAUCUUCAAAAUGUUAACAGCUUAUAAUGUGCCACUAGGCACAUUUCAAGUGCCCCUCAGCUGAGACACAGGGUCACAAUACUGGUCAGCACAGCUUUAGGAAGGCAGAAGGGAGAAGAAAGAGCUCUCCUUACAAGUCAUAGGAAACCAUGGUGCAGGCAGGAGGCGCCUCAGAGAUGAGCUGAGGAGAACAGAAAUUUUAGAGACUGUGUUCAUCCAGAUCUCUGAAAUCCUCGUCUGGAUCUGGCAUCCCUCACCGGAAGUCCUGGGAGUCUGGAGUAUUGUAUUGCUGUUUCAGUUUCUAUUUCUCUUUUUAAUAUGGCCACUAGCCCUUUCUUCAUUGGGAACACAUUACAGUUUUGAAUAAAGAAAUCAUAUCAGCUAUUCAAAUCCUGUCAGCUGUGACUGCUGAGCUCUUGGCUGUACCGAUGGGCUCUGGACUUGGGGAUUUCAAACCCACGGGGCCUCGCUCUGAGUUGGCAAGCUUAGACAUUCUUAUCAACAAAGGAACAGACGAUCAUCAGAAUCAUCCGGUGCUACCCACUCAGCCCCCACACUGGACACAUGAGAUUUCAACUGGUGGCCCCUACCUCUGGAUGUCAUCCACGAGUCGGGCCAGUUGCUGCUGCCUUCCCACAGGACUGAGCCGAGUCUCUUCAGCUACUGCCUUCAUCAGGCGGAAAUCUGAGGUUGCUUGGCUGCUCAGGCCUGGGAGAGGCAAGCAAAGGAAGUUUUGGGCUGCAGAAAUGUCUCAGUGGUUAAGAGCACUUGUUCUUCCAAAGGACCCAGGAUUGAUUUCCAGUACCCACAUGACAGCUCACAACCAUAUAUAACUCCUAGGGGAUUCAACUCCCUCUUCUGACGUCCUUGGGUGCCAGAAACACACUUAAAGAGCACUGGCUGCUUUUACAGAGGAUCUGGGUUCAAUUCCUAGUCCCCACAGGUGGUUAACAACUGUCUGUAAUUCCAGUUCCAGGGCAUCUAACAACCUCACACAGAGAAACGUGCAGGCAAAAUACCAAUGUACCUAACAUU
ensembl:antisense Gm10706 predicted gene 10706